UGGGGAAUUUUGGACAAUGGGCGCAAGCCUGAUCCAGCCAUGCCGCGUGAGUGAAGAAGGCCUUCGGGUUGUAAAGCUCUUUCGGUGGGGACGAAAAGGUUCGUGCUAAUACCACGGACUAAUGACGGUACCCGAAGAAGAAGCACCGGCUAACUACGUGCCAGCAGCCGCGGUAAUACGUAGGGUGCAGGCGUUAAUCGGAAUUACUGGGCGUAAAGCGUGCGCAGGCGGUUUGUUAAGACAGAUGUGAAAUCCCCGGGCUUAACCUGGGAACUGCGUUUGUAACUGGCAAGCUAGAGUGUGGCAGAGGGGGGUAGAAUUCCAGGUGUAGCAGUGAAAUGCGUAGAUAUCUGGAGGAAUACCGAUGGCGAAGGCAGCCCCCUGGGUUAACACUGACGCUCAUGCACGAAAGCGUGGGGAGCAAACAGGAUUAGAUACCCUGGUAGUCCACGCCCUAAACUAUGUCAACUGGUUGUCGGGGGAGCAAUCCCUUGGUAACGAAGCUAACGCGUGAAGUUGACCGCCUGGGGAGUACGGCCGCAAGGUUA
rnacentral:rRNA from 1 species